rnacentral:rRNA from 1 species
UACGUAGGCAGCAAGCGUUGUUCGGAAUUACUGGGCGUAAAGAGUGUGUAGGCGGUGUUCUAAGUUUGUCGUGAAAUCUCCCGGCUUAACUGGGAGGGUGCGGCGAAAACUGGAAUGCUAGAGGAUGGGAGAGGUAAGCGGAAUUCCUGGUGUAGCGGUGAAAUGCGCAGAUAUCAGGAGGAACACCGAUGGCGAAGGCAGGUCUCUGGGCCACUACUGACGCUGAGAAGCGAAAGCAUGGGGAGCGAACAGG